CUACGGGUUGCAGCAGUCGAGAAUCUUCCGCAAUGGGCGAAAGCCUGACGGAGCAAUGCCGCGUGCAGGAUGAAGGCCUUCGGGUCGUAAACUGCUGUCACCGGGGAUGAAUAAUGACAGUACCCGGGGAGGAAGUCACGGCUAACUACGUGCCAGCAGCCGCGGUGAUACGUAGGUGGCAAGCGUUGUUCGGAUUUAUUGGGCGUAAAGGGUUCGUAGGAUGUUGAUUAAGAUUGGUGUGAAAUCCCAAGGCUCAACCUUGGAACUGCAUUGAUUACUGAUGAACUAGAGUGUCGUAGAGGAAAGCGGAAUUCCAGGUGUAGCGGUGGAAUGCGUAGAUAUCUGGAAGAACACCGACAGCGAAGGCAGCUUUCUGGGCGAUAACUGACUCUGAGGAACGAAAGCAUGGGGAGCAAACAGGAUUAGAUACCCCGGUAGUC
rnacentral:rRNA from 1 species